rnacentral:lncRNA from 1 species
CACCCCUUCCUCUUCCUGCUUUGCCUCUGCUGAAUGGCACUAGGUUGCCUCUCCAUAUUCCACAGGAGUCAGGGUGGGAAUGGAAUGACCCCUGGAGAACUUGGGUCCUGCUCUGGCGUCCUAGCAGGGAGGACUGUGGUGGGUGGGCUAGGCCUUGCUUGAGUGUCCAGGAGAAAGGGAGGAUGUGCCUGUCAGGAGGAACGUUCUGGAAUUUAAGACCAAGAGCAGAGAUUAAAUUUGUGUGAGAAUGA